GUGGAAUUAGAUAUAUAACCAGAAGAGUCAGCAGGGAAGAUGGCCCAUCUAAUGAAGAAAUCAGUUUCCCCUGAUGUAAAGUUCAGCACAUGGACCUGUGAGACAUUAACCUCAAGUUCAUUGGCAAUAAAUUCUGCAAGCUCAGUGAUGUUAAGUUUCACGGAGGAUUUGUUGACAUGAAGCAUCAUAUUAAAUGUUAUGACUCCAACCUGAAAUUCACCAGAAAGAAAUGGCACAGUUGGAGAACCAGGUGGAGGAAUUUCUUUACUUGUAUUCUGACCAAAGGAAGGUAAAGGGGCUGGAGGAGGAGCAGGAGAAAGAUAAUGCAGAUUCUUCCAAAGUUCAGAACAGUUUGUCUUCCAAAACCCAAUUGUGGUGUUCUCUCGAUCAUAAGUGACAAGAGUAUUACGAACAAUAAUUCCUCCCAAAAGUGUUGUCUGAUCAUUCCCAUUUUUAAAGAUCCCCAGACAAUAUGCA
rnacentral:misc_RNA from 1 species